AACGAACGUUGGCGGCGUGGCUUAGGCAUGCAAGUCGAACGAGAAAGUUUCCUUCGGGGAGCGAGUAUAGUGGCAAAAGGGUGAGUAAUGAUUAGUUAACCUACCCCUAAAACUGGGAUAACUACCCGAAAGGGUUGCUAAUACCGGAUGGUCUAUGAGAGAUGCAUAUCUUUUAUAGUAAAGGCGCUCGCAAGGGUGUCGAUUAGGGAGGGGAUUAAUUCCUAUUAGCUAGUUGGUGAGGUAAUGGCUCUACCAAGGCAUUGAUGGGUAACCGAUCUGAGAGGAUGACCGGUCACACUGGGACUGAGACACUGCCCAGACUCCUACGGGAGGCUGCAGUCGCGAAUAUUCCGCAAUGGACGCAAGUCUGACGGAGCGACGCCGCGUGUGGGAUGAAGGCCUUAGGGUUGUAAACCACUGUCACACUUUAAGAAAUCAAUUAGGGUAACUCCUAGUUGUUGACAAAGGAGUGGAAGGAAGUCACGGCUAACUACGUGCCAGCAGCCGCGGUAAAGUAGU
rnacentral:rRNA from 1 species